GAUGAACGCUAGCUACAGGCUUAACACAUGCAAGUCGAGGGGUAACGAGAGGAAAGCUUGCUUUCCUUGUCGACGACCGGCGCACGGGUGAGUAACGCGUAUCCAACCUGCCCCCAACUAGGGAAUAACCUUGCGAAAGUAAGACUAAUACCCUAUAAUUUCCUCAGAUGACAUCUGACAAGGAAUAAAGAUUUAUCGGUUGUGGAUGGGGAUGCGUCUGAUUAGCUUGUUGGCGGGGUAACGGCCCACCAAGGCAACGAUCAGUAGGGGUUCUGAGAGGAAGGGCCCCCACAUUGGAACUGAGACACGGUCCAAACUCCUACGGGAGGCAGCAGUGAGGAAUAUUGGUCAAUGGGCGGAGGCCUGAACCAGCUAAGUAGCGUGCAGGAUGACGGCCCUAUGGGUUGUAAACUGCUUUUAUACAGGAAUAAAGUUAGCCACGUGUGGUUAUUUGUAGGUACUGUAUGAAUAAGGACCGGCUAAUUCCGUGCCAGCAGCCGCGGUAA
rnacentral:rRNA from 1 species